GUUUUUGUAGUUGAAGUACAACGAUGAUUUUUCAUAUCAUUGGUCAUGGUUAGAUUCCAUGUAAAAAUU
rnacentral:tRNA from 1 species